rnacentral:lncRNA from 1 species
GCUUUGUGUGAGCAACAUGGCUGUUUAUUUCACCUGGAUGCAGGCAGGCUGAGUGCAAAAAGAGAGUCAGCGAAGGGAGAUAGGGGUGGGGCCAUUUUAUAGGAUUUGGGAAGGUAAUGGAAAAUUACAGUCAAAGGGGGUUGUUCUCUGGUGGGCAGGGGUGGGGGACACAAAGGUGCUCAGUGGGGGAGCUUCUGAGCCAGGAGAAGGAAAUUCACAGGGUUAAUCCCUCAGUUAAGGUGGGGCAGGAACAAAUCACAAUGGUGCAAUGUCAUCAGUUAAGGCGGGGCAGGGCUUUUUCACUUCUUUUGUGGAUCUUCAGUUACUUCAGGCCAUCUGGAUGUAUACAUGCAAGUCACAGGGGAUGCGAUGGCUUGGCUUGGGCUCAGAGGCCUGACAUUCCUGCCUUCUUAUAUUAAUAAGAAAAAUAAAACAAAAUAGUGUUGAAGUCUUGAGGCGGCGAAAAUUUUUGGGGGUGGUAUGGAGAGAGAAUGGGCGAUGUUUCUCAGGGCUGCUUCGAGCGGGAUUAGGGGCGGCGUGGGAACCUAGAGUGGGAGAGAUUAAGCUGAAGAAAGAUCUUGUGGUAAGGGGUGAUAUUGUGGGGUUGUUAGAAGAAACAUUUGUCAUAUAGAAUGAUUGCUGAUGGCCUGGAUACGGUUUUGUUUGAAUUGAAAAACUAAAUGGAAUAAGAGAAGGAGAAAAACAGGUAUAAAAGGUCUUAAGAAUUGGGAGGACCUAGGACAUCUGAUUAGAGGUGCCUAAGGAAAUUCAGCAUAGUCCUGCCAGCAAAGAUUAUUUAUUUACUUCAAGAGUUUAGAGUGGCAGUUUGGGGAUAGCACCAGAAGAUAUCAGCUGUGAUGGCUUGGAGAAACAGUGUAAACCAGCAGGGUAAACAAGAGCAGGGCAUGUAUGAGUAGUUGAGAAUGGUGAAUAGGAGUAUGACUAGACAAAAGAUAGUAGGGAUGACAAGUUUUUUUGGGGCACAGUCUAAGUUGGUCUGGUGUUGAAUGAGACUGGGGCCUAAUAAAAAGGAGCGUCUAUACAGGAGCUUAAAUGGGCUGUACCUUGUAGCAUUCUGAGGACAGGCCUGAAUUCUGAGAAGCGAAAGUGGUAAAAGUAUUGUCCAGUCCUUUUUAAGUUGGUGGCUGAGCUUGGUGAGGUGUCUUUUCUUGAAGAUGGAGGACCAUAAAGGAUAUAAAGGUUUCACUGAAUACUAAGAGCCUGAAAAACUGCUUGGCUGAUUUGACUAAUAAAGGCUGGUCUGUUAUCAGACUGUAUAGAGGUGGGAAGGCUAAACUGAGGAAUUAUGUCUGACAGAAUGGAAGAAAUGACUGUGGUGGCCUUCUCAGACCCUAUAGGAAAGGCCUCUACCUAUCCAGUGAAAGAGUCUACCUAGACUAAGAAGUAUUUUAGUUAUCUGACUCAGGACAUGUUGAGUAAAGCUAAUUUGGCAGUCCUGGGUGGGGGCAAAUCCUCGAGCUUGAUGUGUAGGGAAGGGAGGGGGCCUGAAUAAUCCCUGAGGAGUAGUAGAAUAGCAGAUGGAACACAGAGAAGUUAUUUCCUUGAGGAUAGAUUUCCACGAUGGAAAGGAAAUGAGAGUUUCUGAGAGGCAGGCUAGUGGCUUGUACUAUAGCAUAGCCUGCCUUUGCUGGUGUGUGGCGAUUAGGCCUGGUGGAACUGCCAUCAAUAAAUCAAGCGUGAUCAGGGUGAGGAACAGGAAAGAAGGAAAUAUGGGGAAAUGGGGUGAAUAUCAGAUGGAUCAGAGAGAUAAAGUCAUGGGGGUCAGGUGUGGUAUCAGGAAUAAUGUGGGAGGCCAGAUUGAAGUCUGGGCCAGGAACAAUGGUAAUUGUGGGACUUAAAGAGUGAGUACAGCUGAAGGAGCCGGGGAGCUGAAAGUAUAUGCAUCAGGUAUGAGGAAGAAAAUAGAUUUUGGAAGUUAUGAGAAAUGUAGAGAGUGAGUUGAGCAUAGUUUGUGAUUUUUAGGGCCCCUAACAGUAUUAAAGCAGCAGCAGCCGCUGCACGCAGACAUGAGGGCUUGGCUAAAACAGUAAGGUCAAGUUGUUUGGACAGAAAGGCUACACAGUGUGCUCCUGGCUCUUGUGUAAGAAUUCUGACCACACUAACCAUGCCUAGGAAGGAAAGGAGUUGUUCUUUUGUAAGGGAUUGAGGUUUGGGAGAUUAAUCGGACACGAUCAGCAGGGAGAGCACGUGUGUUUUUAUGAGAAUUAUGCCGAGAUAGGUAACAGAUGAGGAUGAAACUUGGGCUCGACUGAAGUAAUGGGGGCUGUCUGUGAAGCCUUGCGGCAGUACAGCCCAGGUAAUUUGCUGAGCCUAAUGGGUGUCAGGGUCAGUCUAAGUGAAGACAAAGAGAGGCUGGGAUGAAGGGUGCAAAGGAAUAGUAAAGAAAGCAUGUUUGAGAUCCAGAACAGAAUAAUGGGUAGUAGAGGGAGUUAUUGAGGAUAGGAGAGUAUAUGGGUUUGGCACCAUGGGGUGGAUAGGCAAAACAAUUUGGUUGAUAAGACGCAGAUCCUGAACUAACUUGUAAGCCUUGUCUGGUUUUAGGACAGGUAAAAUGGGGGAAUGGUAAGGAGAGUUUAUAGGUUUUAGAAGCCCAUGCUGUAGCAGGUGAGUGAUAACAGGUUUUAAUCCUUUUAAAGCUUGCUGUUGGAUGGGAUAUUGGCGUUGAGCCAGGUAAGGGUGAUUAGGUUUUAAUGAGAUGGUAAGUGGUGCGUGAUUGGUCGCCAAGGAGGGAGUAGAGGUAUCUUAUACUUGUGGGUUAAGGUGGGGGAAUACAGGAGGAGGAAGCAAAGGAGGCUUUUGGAUUGGGAAGAAGGGCAGCAAUGAGAUGCGGCUAUAGUCCAGGAAUAGUCAGGGAAGCAGAUAAUUUGGUUAAAAUAUCUCAGCCUAAUAAGGGAACUGGGCAGGUGGGGAUAACUAAAAAAGAGUGUAUAAAAGAGUAUUGUCUAAGUUGGCACCAGAGUUGGGGAGUUUUAAGAGGUUUAGAAGCCUGGCUGUCAAUACCCACAACAGUUAUGGAGGCAAGGGAAACAGGCCUUUGAAAAGAAGGUAAUGUGGAGUGGGUAGCCUCCGUAUUGAUUAAGAAGGGGACGGACUUACCCACCACUGUGAGAAUUACCUAAAGCUCGGCGUCCGUGAUGGUCUACAGGGCUUCCGAGGCGAUCAGGCAGCAUCAGUCUUCAGCCGCAAAGCGAAGAAGGAAUCAGUCAGAGAGCCUUGGGCCAGAGUUCCAGGGGCUCUGGGAGUGGCUGCCAGGUGAGUUGAACAGUCCGAUUUCCAGUGUGGUCCCGCACAGAUGGGACAUGGCUUAGGAGGAAUCCUGGGCUGCAGGCAUUCCUUGGCCUGGUGGUCAGAUUUCUGGCACUUGUAGGAAGCUCCUGGGGGAGGAGGUUCUGGAGGAAUGCCUGGCUGCUGCAGUUCAGGCGUUUGGAAGUUCUUGUGUGCUGGAGAUGUGGCUGGGGUUUGUCUUACAGUGGAGGCAAGGAAUUGCAACUUUUUUUUUAUUAUUGUACACCUUGAAGGUGAGGUUAAUUAAGUCCUGUUGCGGGGUUUGAGGGCCAGAUUCUAAUUUUUGGAGUUUUAUUUAAUGUCGGGAGCAGAUUGGGUAAUAAAAUGUAUAUUGAGAAUAAGACGGCCUUUUGACCUUUUAGGGUCUAGGGCUGUAAAGCGUCUCAGGGUUGCUGCCGAAUAAGCCAUGAACUGGGCUGGGUUUUUAUAUUUGAUAAAAAAAAGAGCCUAAAAGCUUCUGAUUUGGGAUAAAGAAAAAGGAGCCUUAACCUUGACUAUGCCUUUGGCUCCAGCCACCUUUUUAAGAGUAAAUUGCUGGGCAAGUGAGGGAGGGCUAGUCACAGAACGAAACUGUAAGCCAGACCAGGUGUGAGGAGGGGAGGCGAUAAAAAGAUUACAGGGUGGAGGAGCGGAGGCUGAGGAAGAAUUGGGACCUAGCUUGGCCUGGCGAGGAAGGGAGAGGUCAGAUGGGUCUGUAGAAAAGGAAGAUUAAAAAGACUCAGCGACGCUUGGGGUUGGGACUGAGGGGACAGACGGGAGGGAAAGAAGGAAGAUUUGGGACGAGUUGCACUGGGCACAGAGACUAGGAAGGGACUGAUGUGUAAAAGAAAGCCUGAACGUCAGGCACCUCAGACCAUUUGCCCAUUUUAUGACAAGAAUUAUUUAGAUCUUGUAGGAUGGAAAAAUUGAAAGUGCCAUUUUCCGGCUAUUUGGAACUACUGUUGAGUUUGUAUUGGGGUCGAGCGGCAUUGCAGAAGAAAAUAAGACGCUUAGAUUUUAGGUCAGGUGAGAAUUGAAGAGGUUUUAAGUUUUUGAGAACACAGGCUAUGGGAGAAGAAGGAGGAAUGGAAGGUGGAAGCUUGCCUAUAGUGAAGGAGGCAAGCCCAGAGAAAAGAGUAGAGACACGGAGAAGGGGUAGGGGUUUCUUGCCCUCCAGAAAAGCAGAGAAAGGGUUGGGGCAUGGAAAUAAGGAAUUGGGGCACAGAGAUAAGAGGUUGGGGUGUGGAAAUAAGGGAUUGGGCGUUCUUGCUCCCUAGAAAAGCGGGACUUGCCACUAAGGGUGAAGGAGAGGGGGUUGAGGGGUACUUGCCCCUCCCCCAGAAAAGCAGAGAAGGGGUAGAGACAAGGAGAGAAGCGGGACUUGCGGCUAAGGGUGAAGGACCAAGGCAGGUGUCCCUGCGUGGUCUGACACCUUUGAAACAUGGGUGAAUAAUCAGAGAGGCUUCCCUGCAAUGAUUAAACACCAAGGGAAGGCUGCCUUCCCAGUCCGUGACCGGCGCCGGAGUUUUGGGUCCACGGAUAAAACGUGUCUCCUUUGUCUCUACCAGAAAAUG